UAAUACGUAGGGGACGAGCGUUGUCCGGAAUUACUGGGCGUAAAGGGCGCGCAGGCUGUGCUGCAAGUCAGCUGUGAAAUAUCUGGGCUUAACCUGGAUAUGCGGUUGAGACUGCAGUGCUGGAGUGCUGUAGAGGCAAGUGGAAUUCCCAGUGUAGCGGUGAAAUGCGUAGAUAUUGGGAAGAACACCGGUGGCGAAGGCGACUUGCUGGGCAGCAACUGACGCUGAGGCGCGAAAGCCAGGGGAGCAAACGGGAUUAGAUACCCCGGUAGUCCUGGCCGUAAACGAUGAAUGCUAGGUGUGGGUGUAGAGAUACAUUCGUGCCGGAGUU
rnacentral:rRNA from 1 species